rnacentral:lncRNA from 13 species
AAUGUUUUCCUAUGUGUAAAGUCAUUAUCUUUUUGUUUUCUCAUGGUUUGGUUGGGUCUAAUGGUGUUGUUGUCCUGGGGCUCUGUGGGGUCUGUUUGUGUUUGUGAACAGAGCCCCAGAACCAGCUUGCUUACGGGACUCUUCUCCAGGUUGCUACGGGACUCUUCUCCAGGUUGCUACGGGACUCUUCUCCAGGUUGCUACGGGACUCUUCUCCAGGUUGCUACGGGACUCUUCUCCAGGUUGCUACGGGACUCUUUUCCAGGCUACUACGGGACUCUUCUGGGACUCCCGUUUCUUAUUGGACCGAUUCAGCUAGGUACUCCUUCCUCCUUUCUGUCUGUUUUGGUGUCUAGUCAGUUUUGACAAAUUAUUUCCCAUGUGUAAAGUAAUUAUCUUUUUGUUUUCUCAUGAUUUGGUUGGGUCUAAUUGUGCUGCUGUCCUGGGGCUCUGUGGGGUCUGUUAGUGUUUGUGAACAGAGCCCCAGGACCAGAAUGCUUAGGGGACUCUUCUCCAGGUUCAUCUCUCUGUAGGUGAUGGCUUUGUUAUGGAAGGUUUGAGAAUCGCUUUCUUGGUGG